rfam:Schistosoma margrebowiei strain Zambia genome assembly, scaffold: SMRZ_scaffold0000309
AUCCAGCUGAUGAGUCCCAAACAGGGCGAAACGCGCAUACUGUAU